rnacentral:rRNA from 1 species
AUUGAACGCUGGCGGCAUGCCUUACACAUGCAAGUCGAACGGCAGCACGGGAGCAAUCCUGGUGGCGAGUGGCGAACGGGUGAGUAAUAUAUCGGAACGUGCCCAGUCGUGGGGGAUAACGUAGCGAAAGCUACGCUAAUACCGCAUACGAUCUAUGGAUGAAAGCGGGGGAUCGCAAGACCUCGCGCGAUUGGAGCGGCCGAUAUCAGAUUAGGUAGUUGGUGGGGUAAAAGCCUACCAAGCCUUCGAUCUGUAGCUGGUCUGAGAGGACGACCAGCCACACUGGAACUGAGACACGGUCCAGACUCCUACGGGAGGCAGCAGUGGGGGAAUUUUGGACAAUGGGCGCAAGCCUGAUCCAGCAAUGCCGCGUGCAGGAUGAAGGCCUUC